rnacentral:misc_RNA from 1 species
UACGUGUGGACCAAGCGUUGUUCGGAAUUACUGGGCUUAAAGGGAGCGUAGGUGGCUCAGCAAGUCAGGGGUGAAAGCCGGCGGCCUAACCGUCGGAUUGCCUUUGAUACUGCUGGGCUUGAGUGUGCGAGGGGGAAGCGGAACGUGUGGUGUAGCGGUGAAAUGCGUAGAUAUCACACGGAAGGCCGGAGCCGAAGGGGGCUUCCUGGUGCACAACUGACACUGAGGCUCGAAAGCGUGGGGAGCAAACAGG